AGAACACCAGAUAUCAGCGCCAUCUUGUAAUGGCAAUUGCAAGGGCGGCUCCUCAAAGGUCUGACUAGGAAACUUGGCUCUACUCCAUCUGGCUCCUCUCCAUGUGGUCACUCACCAUUCAAUUAUCUGACUUGAAUGUCUUCAGUUAGAGGGUAGAUUCCAAGGGACAGACAGAAGAAGUCAGCCAGCUGCUACAUUUGGAUGGCUGGAUCCAGCCAGCUUCUUGGGGUGGGGAGGUGGAUGAGAGAGUGCCACGAGCUUGGAAGAAGGGAUGCUGACACUGUUGUUACAGACAAUCCACCACCUUCCCUGCUUUUCAGACAGAUGUAACGUGAACCUUCAGCACUGAAUAAUGCACAGUUGGACAUUCUCCUGAGUACUAUGAGAAAAGAGUUUAACAUGGCCAACUUCUGAUGAGAGUAUUGGAGUUUCCUCUAAGACCGAUUCAAAAUCACCAGGGAGACAGAAGCUACAGUGACAAGAGAUUAGAGCACAUGGGAGAGCGAUGUGCACUUUAAUCUGCUCUGCCAGCCUCACAGCUGUGGUUCAUCCUUUAAGUUCAUGUUUUCUUUUGGAUUUCUAAUAACCUCCUCCCCUCUCCAUCAAGAUGGUCUUUAUAUAUGUCGAGUGACUUACUCCAGCUUCUUCCUGAAUACCAACUUCAAUCUUUCAGUGUGUUAAAAAAAUAUCAGACCAUGAAGGAUAGAGGUGCUUCAUUCCCAUCCGCAAUGGCUGCACUCUACCUCCUGAGAAUGGUAGCAAGAUAGUGAAGCAGUGCUCAAGAUCUGGGAAUAUUUCCAUAGGCAGGAAAUGUUUUGGUCUUUGAGGUUCUUCAGAAGACUCGUAGAUGCUUCCUUCAUGAGGAGUUAAAUUUCCUGGCCACUUUUAUUUUUUCUUUGCUCAUUUGGGAGAGGUUCAGUAGAUUAAUGGCAUUCUUUAGAGAAUGCUAUUGUGUUCAACACUGUGUUUUAUACACUCUUACAAGCUGUUUUCUUCUGGACCAAAGCAUAAGGGCAUCAGAAUAUUGGGUUUAAUUGAGAAAGAAGAUGAAAAUGGGGUGCCGCUGUGGUAGGAGUCAAAGGUUGGGUUGUACUGAUUACCCAGUGUGAGGGCAAGUCUCUGCCUUAUGCCUUUAUUGUAGUCGUUUUGGAGGGUAAGACAUGCAAAGCUUUGGAAAUCUAACAAAUAAACCUAUUAAAACUCA
rnacentral:lncRNA from 1 species